rnacentral:rRNA from 1 species
UACGGAGGGUGCAAGCGUUGUUCGGAAUUAUUGGGCGUAAAGGGCGUGUAGGCGGUUUUUUAAGUCUGAUGUGAAGGCCCCGGGCUCAACCUGGGAAGUGCAUUGGAAACUGGAAGACUUGAGUACGGGAGAGGGCAGUGGAAUUCCUGGUGUAGGAGUGAAAUCCGUAGAUAUCAGGAGGAACACCGGUGGCGAAGGCGGCAUUCUGGACCGGCAUUGACGCUGAGGCGCGAAAGCCAGGGGAGCAAACGGG